rnacentral:misc_RNA from 1 species
GAUGAAGAACGUAGUGAAAUGCGAUAAGUAAUGUGAAUUGCAGAAUUCAGUGAAUCAUCGAAUCUUUGAACGCACAUUGCGCCCCUUGGUAUUCCGAGGGGCAUGCCUGUUCGAGCGUCAUUAUAACCCCUCAAGCUCAGCUUGGUGUUGGGGCCUGCUGCACUGGCAGCCCUUAAAAUCAGUGGCGGCGCCAUCUGGCUCUAAGCGUAGUAAUUCUUCUCGCUAUGGAGUCCUGGUGGAUGCUCGCCAUCAACCCCCAAUUUUUCUAUGGUUGACCUCGGAUCAGGUAGGGAUACCCGCUGAACUUAAGCAUAUCAAUAAGCGGAGGA